AGCGAACGCUGGCGGCAGGCUUAACACAUGCAAGUCGAACGGGCACUUCGGUGUCAGUGGCAGACGGGUGAGUAACGCGUGGGAACAUACCUCUUGGUUCGGAACAACACAGGGAAACUUGUGCUAAUACCGGAUAAGCCCUUACGGGGAAAGAUUUAUCGCCGAGAGAUUGGCCCGCGUCUGAUUAGCUAGUUGGUGUGGUAAAAGCGCACCAAGGCGACGAUCAGUAGCUGGCUGAGAGGAUGAUCAGCCACAUUGGGACUGAGACACGGCCCAAACUCCUACGGGAGGCAGCAGUGGGGAAUAUUGGACAAUGGGCGCAAGCCUGAUCCAGCCAUGCCGCGUGAGUGAUGAAGGCCCUAGGGUUGUAAAGCUCUUUUGUACGGGAAGAUAAUGACGGUACCGUAAGAAUAAGCCCC
rnacentral:rRNA from 1 species